GACGAACGCUGGCGGCAGGCCUAACACAUGCAAGUCGAACGCUGUAGCAAUACAGAGUGGCAGACGGGUGAGUAACGCGUGGGAACAUACCCUUCGGUUCGGAACAACUCAGGGAAACUUGAGCUAAUACCGGAUACGUGCGAGAGCAGAAAGAUUCAUCGCCGAAGGAUUGGCCCGCGGCCCAUCAGCUCGUUGGCGGGU
rnacentral:rRNA from 1 species